CGACGGCGUUGGCGAGCAGCCCUGCGCGGACAAUGAGUUGCACCGGUCACGCGUGCACGACGACGUUGACGAGCGUGGUAGGGCGGCGGGGCGACGAGGCUUCGCGUGCAUGUGGGAGAGAAGAGCGGGCCUGGUUUGGAGGAGGGUCGAGCGGGUGCGCUGGCGUUUGAACGAGCAUCGAGGAUAGGUGGUUGUCGAGGUCCAUGCGACGUGGGUAGGGAAAGGGGAUCGCAGUGGAGAUAGAGGGAGGAGUGGAGGAAAUGAUGCAUGGGGCCCACCUGUAAGAAUGAGAGAGGGAGGGGAGAUGAGAGAGCCGGUUCAGGGAAUGGGCUAAACGGUCGUUCCUUUUCUUAUUUCUUUUCUCCUUUUUUAUUUCUCUUGUUUUCAUAUAUACAGGAAUAGUAAACAUUUA
rnacentral:lncRNA from 7 species